rnacentral:rRNA from 1 species
CGCUCUUACCCAUGCAGUCGAACGGUCUCUUCGGAGAUAGUGGCGGACGGGUGAGUAACGCGUGAGAAUCUAGCUUCAGGUCGGGGACAACCACUGGAAACGGUGGCUAAUACCGGAUGUGCCGAAAGGUGAAAGAUUUAUUGCCUGAAGAUGAGCUCGCGUCUGAUUAGCUAGUUGGUGUGGUAAGAGCGCACCAAGGCGACGAUCAGUAGCUGGUCUGAGAGGAUGAUCAGCCACACUGGGACUGAGACACGGCCCAGACUCCUACGGGAGGCAGCAGUGGGGAAUUUUCCGCAAUGGGCGAAAGCCUGACGGAGCAAUACCGCGUGAGGGAGGAAGGCUCUUGGGUUGUAAACCUCUUUUCUCAGGGAAUAAAAAAAUGAAGGUACCUGAGGAAUAAGCAUCGGCUAACUCCGUGCCAGCAGCCGCGGUAAUACGGAGGAUGCAAGCGUUAUCCGGAAUGAUUGGGCGUAAAGCGUCCGCAGGUGGCACUGUAAGUCUGCUGUUAAAGAGCAAGGCUCAACCUUGUAAAGGCAGUGGAAACUACAGAGCUAGAGUACGUUCGGGGCAGAGGGAAUUCCUGGUGUAGCGGUGAAUUGCGUAGAAAUA